rnacentral:rRNA from 1 species
UACGGAGGGUGCGAGCGUUGUCCGGAAUCAUUGGGCGUAAAGGGUGCGUAGGCGGCGCGGUAAGUCGGGUGUGAAAUCUUGGAGCUUAACUCCGAAACUGCAUUCGAUACUGCCGUGCUUGAAUCCGGGAGAGGGAUGUGGAAUUCCAGGUGUAGCGGUGAAAUGCGUAGAUAUCUGGAGGAACACCGGUGGCGAAGGCGGCAUCCUGGACCGGUAUUGACGCUGAGGCGCGAAAGCCAGGGGAGCAAACGGG